rnacentral:lncRNA from 1 species
UUGUGUUGGCAGGGCUCCUUGCCUUCCCGGAAUGUGUUCCUUCUUGUUUGCCACUCAGUGCUUGGCCCAAAGCCAAACCUGGGCUGCUCAGAAUACCAUGCCCCACUCUCUUCUCUCAUAGGAUCUGAGACAAGGCUCUCUUCCAUUUGGGGAAAGGCCAGGACCUCUCUGCAGCCUCAUCCCACUGGUGCCGACUUCUCUAGGGAUAUCAGACCCCCCAGCUGCUAAGAGCAGAAUCACUGAGGGAGGAUACAGCUGGGACCCCAGCAAAGCAGAGUGUGGCAUACUGAUAUCCUAUCCUAUUGGCAGCCUUCUAAAUAGGGCCAGAGUGGGCAAAGUGUUACUCAUAAGCUAUUCAUUAACUUGUUAAAUGCAAAAGGUUGGCUUAGGCACCACUUUGAGAAAAUGUGACACCCACUGCUCUUGGAUUCACUCUAGCAUGAAGGCAUGUUAAUUGGUGUAGAAUUUCUGAUGCAAGUUUUUCUUUGCUGUUGGUUCCAAAUACCAGGCUAGUCUGUAUGCAUGCUCUCUCUAGUACAUAAAUACUAUUAAAAGAUUUAUUAAGCAUGUUCUAUGGGUUCCCGAUUGUAUGCUUCUAUAGAUGCUAUAGUUUUCUGAGCAAGCACUUAACUGGGUGUAAGGCCCUGUACAAGGUACUUUUUAUAUUUAUCUCAUUUGACUCUUAAUACAAGAAACUCUCAAUACAACAAUACAGUUUUCACACCUUAAACUGAGAUGGAAAGACCAGAAAUAUAAUAUGGAACCCUUUAGGGAGGUUAUUGAGGAAACAAGAUAGAGGGAAGAGCCAUAUAACAGUGAGCCCACAAUAAGUACUAAAGGUAGUGGUACAAAAGGAGACCAACUCAUUGGCAGAGGGGUGUGCAGCAUGUGUGGGCUUCAAAGAAUAAGAUUUGGAUCAGAGGAGAGAUGUGGGGAGGAUCUUCACAAGGUACAUGUUCAGGGGGUAACGUCGGUAAAAGCAUGUUUGUGAAAGAUGGUGCAGAUGAAAGCUUGGGAAAAGCUGAGUUCCUGUUGGGGAAUGAGUACAUAAGUGGGCAAAAUCCCUCAGGAUUUAAAUGCCAGGAUGAGAAGGAAAGACUUGGUCUUUCAGGCAAUGGGGAGCUACUGGAUCUUAGGAGUGAAGGAUACAUUUGGUGGUUUAGGAAUCCUGGUUUGGCAAUGGAGCAUAAAGCAGACAAAAAGUAUAGCAGAAUAGUCUAGAUCAUGGUUUCCCAACCUCAGUACUACUGACAUUUUGGGCUGCAUAGUUCUUUGUUACAGGGGUUAUUCUGUGCAUUCUGAUUGUCUACAUGGCAGGAGAUUAGGGUUUGGGCCUCAGAAUAUUGGCAGAUAGUUUUAUAACCAACUGCGUCAACCUACUGACUUUUAGAAUAGCUGACAAAAAUAAAAAUGGUUUCUUUGCCACAGGAAAUUCAUCAUCAAUGCUUGCCAAAGAACUUAAUGGCCUAGAGAAAAGAGGUCUCAGAAGUAGAUCAUUCUGCAUAUUAGAAAUCUCUAGAGGACACUCCCAAGCUACAGAUAAUGUGUUCUACACUCAUUAGUGAGAAAGUGGCUGAUGUCAGGAUUUUUCUCCCUACCCCCCACCUCCAAGUCACGUAUUGCUCAACGGCCACUUUGAGUAAGGAAUGCCCAAUCUGCUGCAGACAGAGAAGCUACUGAUCUGUAAUUUUGCUAGGUUUGCAUUCACCUUUCCAAAAUUUUGUUUUUGGCAAUUGAUAAAGUAGAUGAAUGCAGCUGAGCCUGCCAAUGAAGAGCUAUGAUUUACCAAGAUAUAUCUUUGUCUAAAGGAGAAUCAGUGAAGUACAGCCCACUGGUUGGCUGCUUAUUUUUGUAAAUAGUUUUAUUGGAACCCAGUCAUGCCCAUUUAUUUAUACACAGUCUCUGGCUACCCUGGAGCUCCAAAGGCAGAGGUUGAGUAGUUACCACAGAGACCAUAUGACCUAUAAGCCUAUAAUAUUUAGUAAUAUUUAAGAAAAAGUUUGCUGAUCCCUGGUCUAAAAGAAAAUGCCUAUGUUGUACAAAAUUGUGGACUUAGAUUCUCAUUCUGUUGCUGGGGAUGACAGAUUCCCAUUUUUUUAAUUCCAAUAAUUAUCAUUAAGUGAGUUAGGCAUUGAGUGACUUAGGCACAAUGCUAAGUGCUUGGGGUAUAUUAGUGAACAAGGUUCAUAAAGAUCUUUACCUUCAUUGAGCUUAUAUAUUAUAGUGAUGAGUGAGGGAGAUAAGACAAUAACAAUAAAUUACAUAGUAUGCAAGAAGGUGAUUAAGUGCUAAGGGAAAAAGAAAAAGUGUAAGGCAAGAAAACUGGGAUUGGAAAUACUGAUGAGAUAUUGCAAUUAAAAGAGGAUGAUGGUUAUGCACUAUUGGUGGGAAUGCAGACUGGUACAACCACUGUGGAAAACAGUAUGGGGUUUCCUCAAAAAAUAAAAAAUAAAAUUACCAUAUGAUCCAGUAAUUCCACUAUGGGGUAUUCACCCAAAGAAUAUGAAAACACUAAUUCAUAAAGAUAUAUGCAUCCCUAUGUUUAUAGAAGCAUUAUUUACAAUAGUCAAAAUGUGGAAGCAGCCCAAGUGUCCAAUGAUAGAUGAAUGGAUAAAGAAGAAAUGGUGUGUGUGUGUGUGUGUGUGUGUGUGUGUGUGUGUAACAGAAUAUUAGCCAUAAAAAAGAAUGAAAUCUUACCAUUUGCAACAACGUGGAUGAAUCUGGAGGGAAUAGUGCUAAGUGAAGUAAGUCAGAGAAAGACAAAUACCAAAUGAUUUCACUCAUCUGUGGAAUUUAAGAAGUAAAUGAACAAAGAAAAAUAGAGACAAAGCAAAAAACAGACUCUUAAUAAUGGAGAAUAAACUGGUGGUUACCAAAGGGAAGGUGGGUAUGGGUUAAAUAGAUUUAGAGGAUUAAGAGCAUACUUACCAUACUUACCACAAUGAACACGGAGUAAUGUAUAGACUUGUUGCAUCACUAUAUUGUACACAUGAAACAAAUAUAACAGUGUAUGUUAACUAUACUGGAAUUAAAAUUUCAAAAAAGAGGAUGAUGGUUGGGGAAGGUCUGAUGUUUAAGCAAAGAUGUAAAAGAAGUGAGAGAAUAUGCUUUGUGGGACAUUCCAGGCAGAGUCAAUAGCCAAUUAAAAAAUUCUCAGGUGCCUGACUUUGUUCAGUAACAGCAAGGAUGCAGGUGUAGCUGAAGAGAGACAACAAGAGGACAGGACUAGGAAGUGAGGUCAAAGAGGUAACGGUGGGGCAGUGCAGGGUGGCGGGGGACAGGGAGAUCACAGAAGACUGCUGUAAGAACCUUGGCUUUUACUGUGAAUGAAAUGGGAAGUAGAGGAGUGAAUAACAAGUUUUUACUAUACAGGUUUUAAAAGGAUCACCCUUAGCUGCUAGCAGGGUAAAGGUGGAAGCAGGGAGGUCUGUUAGAGACCAGGUGAGAGAUGGCAUGGUGGCUCUGAUGAGAGUGGUAGAAAAACAGGUGGUAGAAAUGGGCAGAUUCUGGAUAUAUCCUGAGGGCAAAAACAGACUUCCCUGUUAUACUAGAGAUGGAAUAUAACAGAAAAAGAGUUAUAAAGGAUGACUCUGUGUUUUAGCUUGAAAGGACGGAUGGAGUUGCCAUCCACUGAGAUGGAGAAAGCUAUGAGUGUUGCAGUUUGAGGAAGGAAUAUCAGAAAUGUAAUACUGGGUGUGCUGAGUUUGAGAUGAGCUUUGGAUAUCCACGUGGGGAAUGUCAAGUGGGAUAUAUGGGUUUGGAGCUCUGGAGAGAGGUCUGGGAGAUAUAAAUUUGGGAACUGUUGACAAAGGGAUGAUAUCUAGAAGCAUGGAACCGGGUGAAAUAUCACCAGGGACUGAGUAUCUGUGCACAGAGGAGAGGAUGGAGGACCGCGCCCUAUAGCACAUCAUUGUAAGAGAUAAGGAAGCUAAUGACCACAUAUCAAGGAGGUGGCUGAUAAAUGCUAAUAAAUCAUUUUUCUUUUACUGUGGCUCAACAAAAGUACUUUUUCCCUUGAAUGUGGCCCAAAAGUUUACAAUCUGGAAACUCCAAACGAUUUAAUGUUUAAAGGUCAUUCUUUCAAUACAAAAAUGGCCCCUGUCUCAUAUCCGACCACUUUGGGAAGUCCUGAGACUUCAGUUUCUCCGAGUUGAUUCUCUAUCUCCUGGGUCAGACUGUGAUGCAGUCUUCUUGUCUCCUGUUCCUUUGGCUAUUGCCCUCUUGCCUGUAAUGUGCCAGUCCUCUCCCUUCAUUCCUCCAAAUGGCCCACCACCAAGAUGGUUGGGUGUAUCCAAAUUGCACACAAGUUUUAGAGUUAAUGGAAGGCUACAGCACAGAGCAGAAAACAACUCCAAAUUCAAUGCACACAUAGAAAUGGAAAGCUCAUAGAAAUGGAAAUCCAUUCUCCACUAUUUUGGAAACUUCUCACUGGCCAUCUCCAAUAGGCCCCUGCCUCCUGCUAUGUUUCUGGCAAACAUCCCAUCUCAGUUCUUUUCAUCAACCCCCCUCCGCUUCUUUCUUACCAAGGCCUCAUUCUCUUUUUCUAGGGCAUCCAAUGAAAAUUCAAAUUUCUUUCAUUUUAUUAUUUGGAGUAACUGAUCUUUCUUUGUGUCCCCCUGGCCCACUCAAGCUAACCCCAGGGAGUUGACUUUUCUCAACCCCAAAAGGUCCAUCUAGAUAUUUAGCUCAGCAAACAACAAGCUCUCUAGCAAUACAUUAUGCCAUACUCCUGAAAUCAGAAAAGUUAUUCCUUUUGAUAAAAUAAAACAGAAAAAAAAAACCCCACUAUCACUAACAAGCAUUAUGGUGGUUAAGAGUUCAGGUUCUGGAAUCAGUACAUCUACAUUUAAACCUCAUCAAUUUACUUAACUUGGGCAGUGCUAAGCCUUAGUUUUCUCUUUUCUAAAAGGGAGAUGGUAAUGGUAUCUACAUUACAGGUUUAUGUGAUUACUGAAUGGGAAAAUUCAUGCCAAAUCCUUAGAAAUCCCCAGUGUACAGAAAGAGCUCAAUAAAAGUUAUUAUCUUUUAAACUUCAAGAAAUAAAUUUAAACAAAGAUAAAACUCAAUGUUGGAAGGGCUACAUGGGAUUAGUUUUUAUGUUAUAUAUUUUUAAUGGUACUAAACAUUGAUUCUUUUUUUUUUUUUUUAAUUUUUUUUUUCAAUGUUUAUUUAUUUUUGGGACAGAGAGAGACAGAGCAUGAACGGGGGAGGGGCAGAGAGAGAGGGAGACACAGAAUCGGAAACAGGCUCCAGGCUCUGAGCCAUCAGCCCAGAGCCCGACACGGGGCUCGAACUCACGGACCGCGAGAUCGUGACCUGGCUGAAGUCGGACGCUUAACCGACUGCGCCACCCAGGCGCCCCUAAACAUUGAUUCUUAUGAGAAUUCUCUGGCUAUCUAUAUGAAGGGAUAAAAAUUGCUCAUAUGCUUUGCUGGUCCAAUUCCACUUUAGCAUUCCUCAAGGAGAUAAUCUGAAGUGAAAAAGUUACUUAUGAAGAGUUUGUAGCACUACUAUUCAUAACAAUAUCAGAACUAACCAAAAAGCCUAGCAGUGGAGAGAGGGCUAAGAAAAUCAUGACCUAUUAACUUGAUGUAAUCCCAAGUUACCUUUAAACAUAACAAGUUGACAAUGAUUCAGGGUGGACAUUUGUAAAAAAGCAGAAUUAAAAGUGCUUACACAUGAUGUGUCUGGCUGGCUCAGCUGGUAGAACAUGCAACUCUUCUUUAGGGGUUGUGAGUUCAAGCCCAACGUUGGAUGUAGAGCUUACUUAAAAAAAAAAAAAAAAAGGAAAAAGUGCUUAUGCAGGGAUUACAACUAUGUAAAAUGUGAAAACUUCAAAUCAGCAGAGAAAUUGAAGAAAUGUGCAUAUUAGAGUUACAUGUUUAGUGAGUUUCUCUUAUUUUCUGUCAGGUUGCUUAAGUUCAUCAACCUCCCUACCCCCACAAUAGUUUGCUCUUAUACAAGCAUGAGAUAUUAUGCUGAUAGCAUGGUAUUUUGAUUCCGGCUGCAAUGCCAUGGAAGAAUGAUGGGCUGUUUCUGAUAAAUUGCUUCUAUAUUUGCAUCCUUUCAUUCUACAAAUAACACCCAGUGUCUAUGUGCCAGGCACUAUAUUAAGCAGCAGGGAUUCAAUGAUGAAAAAAUCAGAUAUGGUCCCUAGCCUCUAGGGCAUCAACAGUUUAGUGUGAAGAGAGAUAUAACACCAAAAAUUAUAUGUGAUUUGGGCACAUUGAAAGCAAAUUAUUCUGGUGCAUCAGGGAAGAUUUCCCUGAGGAAGAGAUUACAUGGGAAUUUCCCUGAGGAAGAACAUGGGGGAGUUAAAGGGGGAGAGAACAGUAGGUAGGAAGGCUUUAAGGGGAAAAAAGAAUGGGUUGUGUUGGAGGAACUAUAAGAAGGUCUGCAGAGUUGGAGUACAGUCAAGUAGGGCAAGGGUGGUCUAGCUCAUAAAGAGCAAGAAAAGCAGGAAGGUGCCAGAUUAUUCUGAGCUUUAAUAUAUGGGCAGAAUAUAAAAUGGACUGAGGGAUGGAAAGUAUGCAUGAAUACUGGAGACUACCCUAGAAGCCAUUGUGGCAGUCCAGAUGAAAGCUGGCGGUUGUUUGGACUAGAGUGGUGGCAUUGGCAAUAGAGAGAAAUACACAUAUUUAAAAGAUAUUUAAGAUAUGGAAUGAACAUCACUUUGAGAUUGAUAGAUGUGGAAUCUGAGAGAGACACACACGUCAGGGAUGACUCCUAGAUUUCUGGCUAGAACUGGGUGAGUAGUGGUGUCAUUUUCUGAGGUAGAGAAUACUGAUAAAGUAGGUUUGAUGAUGGGGGAAGAUGAGUUGAGCUUUAGGAUUGGCUGGGUUCAAGUUGCUUAUGAAAUAUCCAAGGGAGAUGUCCAGUAAAAGGAUAUACAGGUAGAAUUUUGGAAGAGUUCAGGAGAGAAGUGUCCAACUCUAUCAUUAGCCUGGUGAAUGGCUGGUAGAGCCUAAACCCUGAGAAUCUCUAACAAGUUGAGAAGAAACUGGCAAAUAAGAAAGAGUGGUCAGUGAAGUACUAGGAAAACUAGGUGUCACAUCAAUUAAGGAAGAGUGGUUUGAAAAGGAGGGUUUAAUGUUGCUAGGAAGACUAGUCAAAUAAGAACCGUAAGUGAUCUUAUUGAGAAGUUUUUGUACAGUGGUGGGAGCAGAAUCUAGAUUAACGUGGUUUGAGAAGUGGGAGGGAGGUGAGAAAUUGUGACACUUUAGAUUUGGCUGUUAAAGAGGAGGAAAGCAAAAGGUCAAUAUCUAGAGGGAGACAUGAGGUUAUGCUUUUAUUUAUUUUUAAAGAUGGAGAGAUUUAAUACAUCUAUACAUCCAGGUGCUAUUGGAAAGGAGCCAGCAGAGAAGAGUGGACAUGAUGACGAUGGUGUGUGUGUGUGCACGUGUGUGUGUAUGCCGUUUGCACAAGGUCCUGUGUACAGGUUAAGGGAUUAGCCUUUCCCUUAUGAGAGUCACUGCAAUAGGAGUGAAGAAUGCUCAAAAGUGGUAUAGAUACAGGUAGGUUCAUAGAUUUGGAGUCAGGAAUGUUGAAGGGGUACAUGGUAGUUCCUGUUUUCUUUCUGAAGUUGCAGAGUGCAGGAGGAGGUAAGGGCUUUGCAGGCUUGUGGAAUGUAGACUGAGGUGGCAGCAGUGGAGAGCCAGAGUGUGAGCUGGCUGGGGAAGCACAGCCCAGUGCAGAAAACUUUGACCCAGCUUGUGUCAUGGGGAGAGGGUUCCAAACAGGUUUCUUCGUUUGGGUAUCCAGAAGGAAAAGAGGCACAAAGUAAUCCUUCUCUCUUGUCUUUUAGCACAAACCACAGGAUCUAAUUAUUUUUUUCUAGUUUCCUGAUAACUCUUCCUACUGCUGACACUGAAGUUGGCUUCCAUUUCCUUUGACACUCUGACAUGUUAGCUUUUCCCUACAUAAGAAAACUUCACUUACGUGCAUUUAGCACCAGAUUUUUCCUUAGUGGAAUUUCUGUCUCAUUUUCCGCACUUGCGUACAGAGUGCUCCAUCUUUGCUUAGUUUUAUUUGUUUUUUAAAAAAAUUUUGUGUACAUUUAUUCAUUUUUGAGAGACCGAGAACAAGCGGGGGAGAGGCAGAGAGAGAGGAAGACAGAAUGAGAAGCAGGCUCCAGGCUCUGAGCUGUCAGCACAGAGCCCCACGCGGGGCUCAAACUCACAAACCACAAAAUCAUGACCUGAGCCAAAGUCGGACGCUUAACCGACUGAGCCACCCAGGCGCCCCUUUGCUCAGUUUUACUUGUAUAAAAUGAAAUUCCUUUAAGCUCUUUUUUAUGAGAUACCCAAGGCUGCUGUUCUCUUUCUACUUCCCAUCUUUCAUAUGCAUGGAAUGUGAAAGGAAGUACAAUGUAGGGCUUUUAAAAUGCAUUAGAUCGGUAGAUCAAUGUCAGGAGCUGAUCCAAACAUGACCUAACAUAUAAAGCAAAGCCAGUUAUAUAGGUUCUGCUACCCAGCAGUUAUUUGAGAUGACAAUUUCUCAAUAUUACUGUCUGUAAUAUACCAGCUGAAUUUAUGAAAUGUAUAAAGUGAGAGAUUACUUAAAAUGUUCAAGUAAGGAGUUCUGGUCACUCUCAAUCAUGUGACUGAACUUCUCUGAGUUUGUUUCUUAUCUAUGACUAGAAUAAUGAUACCUGGCAAAACAUGACAAUUAAGUGAGAUUAUAUAAUUAUAAUAUCUAGUAACAUAAAGUAACUUGUACAUUAUAAAGUGAUAGGAAGAUUAGUUGUUGCCAUUUACAAUCCUUGACUAAGUUUUUAACUAUCAGGCCAUUUUUUAUACAGCUGUUUAGUUACAAUAUAACUAAGUUUUCAGGUGCACCUGGUUGGCUCAUUUGGUGGGAGUGUGUGACUCUUUAAUCUCAGGGUUGUGAGUUUGAGCCCCACAUUGGGUGUAGAGAUUACUUAAAUAAAAUCUUAAAAAAACAACUAAUUUUUUAAACUUGUUGCUAGACUUAAAAUGGAACUCGGUAGUGAGAUAGAUGGCAAUAGGUUUAUUUUAGUGUCUACUGUAUGCUUUACCUAUAAUAUUUAAUCCUUAUAGCACUUGCUUAAACACACUACUACUUUCAUUUUGCAAAUGAGGCUACUUAACCUUUUUUUUUUUUUAAGUUUAUUUAUUUGUGAGAGAGAGUGAGAGAGAGAAAGAGUGCAAGUGGGGGAGAGGGGCAGAGGGAGAGACAGAGUAUCCCAAGCAGGUUCCACACUAAGGCUUGAUUUCAAGAGUUGAAAUCAAGAGUUGGCUGCUUACCAGACUGAGCCACCCAAGCACCCCAAGGCUAUUCAAUCUUAAACCUGCCUGAGGCUAUACAUUUAUAACAGAUGGGGCUUGAAUUUGAUUAAAACACUCAUGUUCUUUCCCAUAAGCACAGCAUGUAAAUUUUUGUAUUUUCUCCUUUUCUAUUUUAAGUGAUGGAAGAAAAAAACUUCAGUAUCAGUAGAUAAACAAGACUAAGAACUUGUCAUUUUAAUGAAAUAUGUAUUAUUAAAACAUAUGGUUAAUAUGGAGAUAGUAAAAUUUAUAGUAAAAAUAAUAAGGUAUUCUGAUUAUAUCAGAAAUAUAAUCCACUUGUGGUUUUUUCAUUAUUCUGAUCCAGUUAGGACUAGUGUUUAGGAACUUUAACAGCCAUCCAACAAAAGAGGAGAAAUAUUUAUGAUUUGAACGGUAUUAAAUAUCUGUAUUAAUAUAUUACCUGUAUUAAUAUUUAUCUGUAUUAAUAUUAAUAUAUUAUCACUGUAUACCUAAAACUAAUGUAACAUGUGUCAGCUAUACUCAAAUAAGAAAAAAAAAGCCCAUUGAUAAUUUUUUAUUUUUGACCACCAUCUAUAGCUGGGUUUAUAAGUGGUAACUUUUCUAAAUUCCAAGAGACAUGGGUUGGACAAGUAUGAAUAUACUUUUGGAGCAAUACAUCAGGGUAUUUGAAAGCAGGGAAGUUCAGUGUAACAAUUGCUCAAUCCAGUUCUAAAAAUCUUGCUUUCCUUUUGAAUAUUUUGAAGCUGCGUUUUGCAGACUGGAUUCUUUUGACUCUGAGAAAAGGAAACAAUACCACAAAAGAUCUUUUCCCUAUUUUGUAUCACAUAGCAUCAAUGGUGUAUGGUCAAGCAAGUACAUGACCUAUGGCUAUUAAAGUAUCUAGUGAAAGGUUACAAGUCAACUCUUAAAGUCUCCUGUCACUUAUAAUGCUAAUACUUAAAAAUGCCAUACUCAAAAGUUUUAUAGAAGACUAACUUGUAGCACAGUCCAAUCACGUUAUUCAUUUGGAAAAGGAGACCUUAGAUUUUUUUUUUUAAGACUUUACUAGUUUAGUUCAAAAUGUAAUUUAUUUCUGGUAUGACUUUUAGGGAGUCAGGAAAGAUUGCUCUCAUAUGUAUUAACUUAUAAGAGGGAGACAAUCUGACAUUUAAACAGACAUACUUUGCAUUAUAGAAACAACUUUUCCCAGAGAGCAUUUGCCUUUGUCAUAGUCUAGACUAGAUACCUAAGUCAACAGUUACUAAAAUAAUAUUAUCUUCUUAUCUUUAUCUACAAUCAUGGCUUCAGCAUUCCAUGUCACUUCUCUUACUCCCCUUCCCUCCCUAUUUCACCUCUAUGGCUGAUUGCCAGUUCCUAAUCUUUUUUUUUUUUUUGCCUGUUCCCAUCUUCAUUAGGUCUUUUUAUCCAAAACAUACUGACUUGAAAUGGAAACUUUUUCUGUAGCUUUCUCAGACUUUCAGUUUCAACUCAUGUUCACUUGGGCCUGCUAUGUAACCUGUAUUACUUACACUGUGGUUUCCCCCCACUCCCCUGACUAAAAAGAAUGGAGUUACUGCCUUUGUGGUUACUGAGUGGUGAGAUUAUUUUGGGCUAUGAGGGCUGGGGGCAAGGUUAGGUUGGGGAGGGAGGUGAAAUAAAUUUCACAGCUGAAACUAAUCUUUGGUUUUUAAGUCUCGUAAGCACUGCAAUCUAGUUUUCAUUAGGAAUAGAAUUAAUGUGUGUACCCAACAUAUCGGGUUGUUAAUUAUUUGAAACAACUCAGAAAAAAACACAUCAAUGAUUUAGGAGGGAUAGCAUUUCUUUUUAUUCUUGGUUCCAUAUUUUAAAAAUUACAUCGUUUGCAUUUUGAAUUAAGUGAAAGGGUUGAGAAAGCUCACUUUAUCUGCCUUAUAACUGUAAAAAAAAAAACAAGCCAACUUUCAGUCUGCAAGUUUCAGAUAUGAUAAUAGUCCUGAAAUCACCAUGGUUGAAAACAAUUCUGCCAGAUUAUGGAUAAAGAGGAAAGGAAAAACUAUGACUAUUAGAAAGCAGCAAUAUUUAUUAGAAAUAACAGGCAACCUUGGGAAGUUAUUGGCUAUGAGUUUUAAAACCACAGAACUUUGGAUAUAAAAGGAAGGAGUGUUGCAUGGCUAACAGACAAGGUGAAGAAAAGCUGUUAUCAAUGCAGAGUAGCAAGUCAACCCAUUCACUGAGCAAACUAAAAGGUCCAACAGCCAUUUAUUUUAAUGAAGUUAAAGAUUCCCCCUUUCUUAAAACAUUCCAGGAAUAGAGUGGGGGAAGAUGGGCUAACAUCAUCUUUAUCAAAUAUCUGCAAAGGUUACAAAGAUAGCUGGGAAAGCCUCUGCACAGAGAAUGGAAGAGGUAUCACAGAACUGAAUAAAUGAUUCUUAGAAUAUUUAGAUCUUGAAUUAGGUUAGAUCUUGACCUGCUUCUAGCCAGUUGAUCUCUUUAAAUAUGCAGGGCUGUGCAAUAAGUUUUUGAUUCUUCUAUAAUGUUCUUCUUGCAUUCUUCUGGAUAUGACAUACACUUGGUUUCUUUAAAGAUCACUGCUUUUCCUUUGAAUAAGCCAAUAGGAAUAAGGGAGACAAAAAGGGAAAUAAUAAAUGUUCAGACAGCAUGGUUUUAAG